rnacentral:rRNA from 1 species
AACGCGGCGGCGUGCUUACACCUGCCAGUCGAACGAGGUCAUCCGAUCUUCGGAUUGGUGAAGACCUAGUGGCGAACGGGUGCGUAACACGUGAGAAACCUGCCCCGGUCUCUGGGAUAACAGUUGGAAACGACUGCUAAUACCGGAUGCCGUCGGACCGUCGCAUGGCGGACCGACGAAAGGGUUACCGGAUCGGGAGGGUCUCGCGGCCUAUCAGCUUGUUGGUGAGGUAACGGCUCACCAAGGCAUCGACGGGUAGCUGGUCUGAGAGGAGGAUCAGCCACACUGGGACUGAGACACGGCCCAGACUCCUACGGGAGGCAGCAGUGGGGAAUAUUGCACAAUGGGCGAAAGCCUGAUGCAGCAACGCCGCGUGCGGGAUGAAGGCCCUAGGGUUGUAAACCGCUUUCAGCAGGGAAGAAAAUGACGGUACCUGUAGAAGAAGGUGCGGCCAACUACGUGCCAGCAGCCGCGGUGACACGUAGGCACCAAGCGUUGUCCGGAUUUAUUGGGCGUAAAGAGCUCGUAGGCGGUUCAGUAAGUCGGGUGUGAAAACUCUGGGCUCAACCCAGAGACGCCACCCGAUACUGCUGUGACUAGAGUGCGGUAGGGGAGCGGGGAAUUCCUAGUGUAGCGGUGAAAUGCGCA